UGCCUUACACAUGCAAGUCGAACGGCAGCGCGGGGCAACCUGGCGGCGAGUGGCGAACGGGUGAGUAAUAUAUCGGAACGUGCCCUGGAGUGGGGGAUAACGCAGCGAAAGUUGCGCUAAUACCGCAUACGAUCUAAGGAUGAAAGUGGGGGAUUCGCAAGAACCUCAUGCUCCUGGAGCGGCCGAUAUCUGAUUAGCUAGUUGGUGGGGUAAAGGCCUACCAAGGCAUCGAUCAGUAGCUGGUCUGAGGGGACGACCAGCCACACUGGAACUGAGACACGGUCCAGACUCCUACGGGAGGCAGCAGUGGGGAAUUUUGGACAAUGGGCGCAAGCCUGAUCCAGCAAUGCCGCGUGAGUGAAGAAGGCCUUCGGGUUGUAAAGCUCUUUUGUCAGGGAAGAAACGGUGAGAGCUAAUAUCUCUUGCUAAUGACGGUACCUGAAGAAUAAGCACCGGCUAACUACGUGCCAGCAGCCGCGGUAAUACGUAGGGUGCAAGCGUUAAUCGGAAUUACUGGGCGUAAAGCGUGCGCAGGCGGUUUUGUAAGUUUGUCGUGAAAUCCCCGGGCUCAACCUGGGAAUUGCGAUGAAGACUGCAAGGCUAGAAUCUGGCAGAGGGGGGUAGAAUUCCACGUGUAGCAGUGAAAUGCGUAGAGAUGUGGAGGAACACCGAUGGCGAAGGCAGCCCCCUGGGUCAAGAUUGACGCUCAUGCACGAAAGCGUGGGGAGCAAACAGGAUUAGAUACCCUGGUAGUCCACGCCCUAAACGAUGUCUACUAGUUGUCGGGUUUUAAUUAACUUGGUAACGCAGCUAACGCGUGAAGUAGACCGCCUGGGGAGUACGGUCGCAAGAUUAAAACUCAAAGGAAUUGACGGGGACCCGCACAAGC
rnacentral:rRNA from 1 species